CACUAGGUAGGUGGCCUUUAUUGCGAGGCUGAGUAUGAUGGGCUCCAUCCAGCACGAACACAAAGCCCUGUGAGAGGAGGCAGAGUAAGAUGAAAUCGAAUUGUAGGAUAUGAAAGGCAUUUUGAAGGAGUAGGCAUCAGGCUGGGUUUUAAAGGAAAUGUAGGUUUUGUGAAAUACUAGGGUGCAAAAGCCAUCACGGUUUUUGCCAUUAAAACCGCGAUGACUUUUGCAUCAACCUAAUAGAACCAGGCGAGGCGGCUGGGGAGAGAAGGCCAUUCCAGGCAGAGGGAACCAAAGGAGCAAGAGCCUAGGGGCAAAAAAGUGUUGGGUGAGUUAUGGGAAUAACAGGUUUUGUCAUGGGAACCAAUUGGGUUACAGUGCAAGGCAGCCAUGGUUAAGCAGGGCCAGGUGUAUGAGUAGCCAGCACCGUGGGUGCUGUCAGAAUUCUGAAAAGGCCCUGGAUGGCACCGGGUAGGGCCGCUGCUAGUCAGUAUAGGGCCUUGGUGAGAAUUAGAAAAAUGGCACCCCUGGGCUGUAUUUUGGCCCCUAUCCACCAGCCCCAAACCCUCCUGGGCCCUUGAGCAGUGAACAACCUUUAUAACCAUACGUCUAGAGCCACGAAGGCUUAGGAGGGAGGUGAAAAUUGAACUGAUGAUUCCUCUGUUCUAACACAGUCGUUGGGGGGAAGCUGAGAGUUCUAGAUUCAAAUAGACCAGAGUUUGAAUGUAGGUUUCAGCCAUAAUGUUCUAACUGGAUGAGCCUUAGUCUCCCCACCUGCAACGUAGGGCUAAUAAUAAUGCUAGUUCAUGGGGAUUUGGGGUGAAUUCAGUGAGUCAUUAAGCUCUAAGUGGCACAGAGUCUACUCCAGUUAAUGUUAAUUUUGGUAACUGUUAAGUGCCAGCUGUCAGCAUCCAUCACUUCCAGAAACAGGUCCACCAAACACUAAAUUCUUCUGUGUCACCACCCAAGCAUAGUCUGCAUGGGGUCCAGAGAUGGAAAGGUCGAGGGAAACGGGGAAGGGUCUGGGUUCUCUCAGUUCCACCAAUCUGCAAACUACUUUACAGGAACAGACUCUUCCCUUUGCAUUCACACCAGGGCAGGGAUUCAAAUGUCUUCAGAGAUUUCUGAGACCACCAGUGAUGGGAGACCUAAGGAGGAGGGCAGGGGGAGCAGCACUGCUCUAGAGCUCUGACCCAGGAAGCCCCACCACACCCUGACCUUCCUUGGCUCCAUGACCUCAUCCUGCAGGAAUGCGUUCUGCCAUGGAGGAGAGCAGCCGUAAGCAGAGCUCAUCAACUGCUCGCUCUCCAGGGGGCCAUAACCACAUUGUCACUGUUUCUACACUGUCUGGAAGAAGAAUGGGCAUUGUUACCUCAAUGUGGACCACCAGGGGCUUGCAAGAAGAGGCUGAAGAUGACAGGCAGAGACAGCUCUACCACCAUCUCCCGCCACUUACCAGGCUGGGCCACCUAGAUGUUUUCUGCUUCUCUGGGGUUGAUUUUUGUCGUUUGCUUAACAGACACUAUUCAGACCACUACCUUCCAUACACCACCCUGGAGCCUCCCUGUGACGGGACUUCCUGACCGGCCUGUCUGAGCAUGAAAGGGCUGAGCCCUCCGUAGGCGGGCGUGCCGACGGGAUGCAUGUGGUGGAGGACAUCUGCUGCAUUUGGCUGUGUGACAUCUCCCCCUCGCCUUCUGAACAGGCUGGAGUGCAAUGGCACGAUCUCCGCUCACUGCAACCUCCACCUCCUGGGUUCAAGCGACUCUCCUGCCUCAGCCUCCCGAGUAGCUGGGAUUACAGGUCUCUGCAGAGGCCAUGAAAAAUGUGCCACUCAGCUUUUCUGCUAAUUGUUGAAGGCCCAGCUGCCGCCGCUCUGGAUCUACACCCCAUUUGCAAUGAAGCCACACAUCUCGUGAGCGACUCCCAGCCCGUGACUGGGCACAGCAGGGGCCCUAAUGCAGGAUAGCUCUGAGGAGUGUGGGACUCUUGACAGUGGAGGACAUUGGUCCGAGAACUCUUCAUCGACCUGAUCAAACCUCUCUUGGAACUGCAAAGCAGUCUAAGACUCUUCUCCCAGUCUAUUGUCUCCCUAUUAACUAUCUAUAUUGUAGCUCAUUGGAAAAGAGUCAUUAAUUUUGAUUAUCAAAUUCACUUCUUUUUCUUUUUGACUUGCACUUUGGGUUUUUGAGAUUUUGUUUAGCAAUGCUGCUUCCAACCCUUAGUCACACGCAGUCCCCCUCUCCUCACAGGUUUCAGAUUCAUAUCAUAGCUGAAGGCUCUCUCUGCUGUCCAGCUCCUCCUCUGUGUGGGACAUUUAUCUGAGUUUUAAAAUGUCCUUCCCAAAAGUUGACUUUAGUAUUAUUUUAUUAUUUAUUUUUGAGACAGUGUCUCACUCCAGUCCAGACUAGAGUACAGUGGCCUGAUCAUAGCUCACUGCAACCUGGAACACCUAGGUUCAAGACAUCCUCCUGCCUCAGCCUCCCUAGUAGCUGGGACUACAGGCACACACCACCACACUGGGAUAAUUUUUAAAAUUUUUUGUAGAGG